rnacentral:tRNA from 1 species
GCAGUGGUGGUUCAGUGGUAGAACUUUAGCCUUCUAUGCAGGUAACGUGGGUUUGAUUCCCUGCCAAUACA